rnacentral:rRNA from 1 species
CCUACGGGGUGCAGCAGUGAGGAAUAUUGGUCAAUGGACGAGAGUCUGAACCAGCCAAGUAGCGUGAAGGAUGACUGCCCUAUGGGUUGUAAACUUCUUUUAUAUGGGAAUAAAAUGUUCCACGUGUGGGAUUUUGUAUGUCCCAUAUGAAUAAGGAUCGGCUAACUCCGUGCCAGCAGCCGCGGUAAUACGGAGGAUCCGAGCGUUAUCCGGAUUUAUUGGGUUUAAAGGGAGCGUAGGUGGAUUGUUAAGUCAGUUGUGAAAGUUUGCGGCUCAACCGUAAAAUUGCAGUUGAAACUGGCAGUCUUGAGUACAGUAGAGGUGGGCGGAAUUCGUGGUGUAGCGGUGAAAUGCUUAGAUAUCACGAAGAACUCCGAUUGCGAAGGCAGUUCACUGGACUGCAACUGACACUGAGGCUCGAAAGUGUGGGUAUCAAACAGGAUUAGAUACCCGAGUAGUC